rnacentral:tRNA from 1 species
GGGGUCAUGGCUCAGAUGGGAGAGCGCUUGAAUGGCAUUCAAGAGGUCGGGAGUUCGAUCCUCCCUGGCUCCACCA